CCUACGGGUGGCAGCAGUGAGGAAUAUUGGUCAAUGGGCGAAAGCCUGAACCAGCCAAGUCGCGUGAGGGAGUACUGCCCUAUGGGUUGUAAACCUCUUUUGUCGGGGAGCAAAAGCCGGACGUGUCCGGCUGUGAGAGUACCCGAAAAAAAAGCAUCGGCUAACUCCGUGCCAGCAGCCGCGGUAAUACGGGGGAUGCGAGCGUUAUCCGGAUUUAUUGGGGUUAAAGGGGGCGCAGGCGGAUUUUUAAGUCAGCGGUCAAAUCGUGGGGCUCAACCCCAUCCAGCCGUUGAAACUGGGGAUCUAGAGUGUGCGAGAGGUAUGCGGAAUGCGUGGUGUAGCGGUGAAAUGCAUAGAUAUCACGCAGAACCCCGAUUGCGAAGGCAGCAUACCGGUGCACAACUGACGCUGAGGCACGAAAGCGUGGGUAUCGAACAGGAUUAGAUACCCCGGUAGUC
rnacentral:rRNA from 1 species